AUGCAAAUAAAACACUGAUGAAAUAGGUGUGAUGGAAAUUUGAUAUUUUUUUGAUAUAUAUUUUGAAAUUUGAUAGGGCAUGCAAGCUGAAGAUUUAUACAAAGAGGACAAAGUGAUAAAAUAGCCAUCAAAAGGGGCUGAAGAACUCUGUAUUAACGAGAAAAUGGACAGUAGGGGAGACCGGUGGACAAAAAUGGACAUUGGUACACAGAGAUUGUCUGGACAGAUACAAAACAGAUCCAAAUGGACUGAGCUGGAGGGGGCGGGACGGACGCUAGUGACAGGAAACAACUGGGACACACACACACUGGCUCCAGAUGGUUCGGUGACCCCAGUGCUGGAAGGAAUGCGUUCGCUACGAGAAGAACUUGCAGAGAACUCUGAAGUGGACACUAAUAUGUUUGACUGGUCUGAUUCUGUAUUUGCUAAAUAAAAAGCCUUAGUGAUGCCCAUA